GCCUCCGUGGAUCAGUGGUAGAUCGCCCUGACAAAAUGUACCUUCGUUGGAAUAGUUGUUAACAGGGAGCCGUGGGUUCGAAUCCCAUCAGAGGCA